CGGCGGACGGGUGAGUAACACGUGGAUAACCUACCUAUAAUACUGGGAUAACUUCGGGAAACCGGAGCUAAUACCGGAUAAUAUAUUGAACCGCAUGGUUCAAUAGUGAAAGACGGUUUUGCUGUCACUUAUAGAUGGAUCCGCGCCGCAUUAGCUAGUUGGUAAGGUAACGGCUUACCAAGGCAACGAUGCGUANCCGACCUGAGAGGGUGAUCGGCCACACUGGAACUGAGACACGGUCCAGACUCCUACGGGGGGCAGCAGGG
rnacentral:rRNA from 1 species